UGCAACGUUGAGUUGCGUUCUAAAGGACGUGAGGUAAGAUCACGCAGGCUGAGAGAGCCAAAUACAAGCAAACUAUUACAUUUUUAAGGCUCCUUUCAUUAGAUAGGAAAUUCAUGAUAAUUGUUGGACUGCUGUCACUAUGAGUCAAGCGCCUUAUCCCCCUACUGGAUAUGCCUAUGGACCUCUUCAAGGUUAUCAACCAGCUCAACCCCAGAUUGGCUUUGUUCCUCAGCCAAGGUAUGGUCCCCCAGCCCCUCAGC